CUGGCUCAGAACGAACGCUGGCGGCAGGCUUAACACAUGCAAGUCGAGCGCCCCGCAAGGGGAGCGGCAGACGGGUGAGUAACGCGUGGGAAUCUACCCUUGACUACGGAAUAACGCAGGGAAACUUGUGCUAAUACCGUAUGUGUCCUUCGGGAGAAAGAUUUAUCGGUCAAGGAUGAGCCCGCGUUGGAUUAGCUAGUUGGUGGGGUAAAGGCCUACCAAGGCGACGAUCCAUAGCUGGUCUGAGAGGAUGAUCAGCCACAUUGGGACUGAGACACGGCCCAAACUCCUACGGGAGGCAGCAGUGGGGAAUAUUGGACAAUGGGCGCAAGCCUGAUCCAGCCAUGCCGCGUGAGUGAUGAAGGCCCUAGGGUUGUAAAGCUCUUUCACCGGAGAAGAUAAU
rnacentral:rRNA from 1 species